UACGUAGGGGGCGAGCGUUGUCCGGAUUUAUUGGGCGUAAAGAGCUCGUAGGCGGUUUGGUAAGUCGGAUGUGAAAUCUCCAGGCUCAACUUGGAGGGGUCAUUCGAUACUGCCAUGACUAGAGUUCGGUAGGGGAAUGUGGAAUACCUGGUGGAGCGGUGAAAUGCGCAGAUAUCAGGUGGAACACCCGUAGCGAAGGCGGCAUUCUGGGCCGAUACUGACGCUGAG
rnacentral:rRNA from 1 species